UGACCUUGUUGGAGGCAAUGUUUUUUUAAGGCUGAUGAAUCUCUUGAUGUCUAUUAUAUAACGGAAAUAUGCCCCAACAAGAGAUCUGGACAAAUUCAAUCUUUUUUUAAGGACCGAUAUUUGUGGUGUCAUAAGUUCCAUAUUGACUAAGUUGAAGAUUCCCUUUGCUUCCUUCUUUUUUCUUUUUUUUAAUAAUUUUUUAUUUU